rnacentral:rRNA from 1 species
UCUAGCUUGCUAGAAGAUGACGAGUGGCGGACGGGUGAGUAAUGCUUGGGAACUUGCCUUUAGGAGGGGGAUAACAGUUGGAAACGACUGCUAAUACCGCAUAAUGUCUACGGACCAAAGGGGGCUUCGGCUCUCACCUAAAGAGAGGCCCAAGUGAGAUUAGCUAGUUGGUAAGGUAAAAGCUUACCAAGGCGACGAUCUCUAGCUGUUCUGAGAGGAAGAUCAGCCACACUGGGACUGAGACACGGCCCAGACUCCUACGGGAGGCAGCAGUGGGGAAUAUUGCACAAUGGGGGAAACCCUGAUGCAGCCAUGCCGCGUGUGUGAAGAAGGCCUUCGGGUUGUAAAGCACUUUCAGUUGUGAGGAAAGGUUGGUAGUUAAUACCUGCCAGCUGUGACGUUAACAACAGAAGAAGCACCGGCUAACUCCGUGCCAGCAGCCGCGGUAAUACGGAGGGUGCGAGCGUUAAUCGGAAUUACUGGGCGUAAAGCGCACGCAGGCGGUUUGUUAAGCUAGAUGUGAAAGCCCCGGGCUCAACCUGGGAUGGUCAUUUAGAACUGGCAGACUAGAGUCUUGGAGAGGGGAGUGGAAUUCCAGGUGUAGCGGUGAAAUGCGUAGAUAUCUGGAGGAACAUCAGUGGCGAAGGCGGCUCCCUGGCCAAAGACUGACGCUCAUGUGCGAAAGUGUGGGUAGCGAACAGGAUUAGAUACCCUGGUAGUCCACACCGUAAACGCUGUCUACUAGCUGUUUGUGAAUUUAAUUCGUGAGUAGCGAAGCUAACGCGAUAAGUAGACCGCCUGGGGAGUACGGCCGCAAGGUUAAAACUCNAAUGAAUUGACGGG